UACAGUCAAAUCACACUGAAAACACUGGUUCUUGUUCGAUCACCAGAGUUAAGCAGCAUCAAACCUAGUCAGUACUGAAAUGGGUGACUACUUGGCAAUUCUGGGUACUGUAA